UACGGAGGGAGCUAGCGUUGUUCGGAAUUACUGGGCGUAAAGCGCGCGUAGGCGGCUUUGUAAGUUAGAGGUGAAAGCCCGGGGCUCAACCCCGGAACUGCCUUUAAGACUGCAUCGCUUGAAUCCGGAAGAGGUGAGUGGAAUUCCGAGUGUAGAGGUGAAAUUCGUAGAUAUUCGGAAGAACACCAGUGGCGAAGGCGGCUCACUGGACCGGUAUUGACGCUGAGGUGCGAAAGCGUGGGGAGCAAACAGG
rnacentral:rRNA from 1 species